GACAGAGGGUGCAAACGUUGCUCGGAAUUACUGGGCGUAAAGCGCGUGUAGGCGGACGUGUAAGUCAGGUGUGAAAUCCCCGGGCUCAACCCGGGAACUGCACUUGAAACUGCGCGUCUUGAGUACUGGAGAGGGUAGUGGAAUUCCUGGUGUAGAGGGUGAAAUUCGUAGAUAUCAGGAGGAACACCGGUGGACGGAAGGCGGCCUUCUGGACAAUGACUGACGCUAAAACACGAAAAGCGUGG
rnacentral:rRNA from 1 species